rnacentral:rRNA from 1 species
GACGAACGCUGGCGGCGUGCUUAACACAUGCAAGUCGAACGGAAAGGCCCUGCUUUUGUGGGGUGCUCGAGUGGCGAACGGGUGAGUAACACGUGAGUAACCUGCCCUUGACUUUGGGAUAACUUCAGGAAACUGGGGCUAAUACCGGAUAGGAGCUCCUGCUGCAUGGUGGGGUUUGGAAAGUUUCGGCGGUUGGGGAUGGACUCGCGGCUUAUCAGCUUGUUGGUGGGGUAGUGGCUUACCAAGGCUUUGACGGGUAGCCGGCCUGAGAGGGUGACCGGCCACAUUGGGACUGAGAGACGGCCCAGACUCGUACGGGAGGCAGCAGUGGGGAAUAUUGCACAAUGGGCGGAAGCCUGAUGCAGCAACGCCGCGUGCGGGAUGAAGGCCUUCGGGUUGUAAACCGCUUUCGCCUGUGACGAAGCGUGAGUGACGGUAAUGGGUAAAGAAGCACCGGCUAACUACGUG